rnacentral:rRNA from 1 species
UACGUAGGGUGCGAGCGUUGUCCGGAAUUAUUGGGCGUAAAGAGCUUGUAGGCGGUUUGUCGCGUCUGCCGUGAAAAUUCGAAGGCUCGAACCUCGCAACUUGCGGUGGGUGACGGGGCAGACUAGAGUGUGGUAGGGGGAGACUGGAAUUCCUGGUGUAGCGGUGAAAUGCGCAGAUAUCAGGAGGAACACCGAGUGGCGAAGGCAGGUCUCUGGGCCACUACUGACGCUGAGAAGCGAAAGCAUGGGGAGCGAACAGG